rnacentral:rRNA from 1 species
UACGAAGGGGGCUAGCGUUGUUCGGAAUUACUGGGCGUAAAGGGCGCGUAGGCGGCCUUCUAAGUCGAACGUGAAAUCCCCGGGCUCAACCCGGGAACUGCGUCCGAUACUGGGAGGCUUGAAUCCGGGAGAGGGAUGUGGAAUUCCAGGUGUAGCGGUGAAAUGCGUAGAUAUCUGGAGGAACACCGGUGGCGAAGGCGGCAUCCUGGACCGGUAUUGACGCUGAGGCGCGAAAGCUAGGGGAGCAAACAGG